rnacentral:snoRNA from 1 species
UUUUUAUUGUGAAUUAAGAGCAGGGUUUUGCUGUGGACAUGACCAUAGACAAUUUUCCAGGAGGUUUUGUCUUUGCUACCAUGCUAGUAUAUAACUGAUUGGGGACAUUG